GAUGAACGCUGGCGGCGUGCCUAAUACAUGCAAGUCGAGCGAACAGACGAGAAGCUUGCUCCUUUGACGUUAGCGGCGGACGGGUGAGUAACACGUAGAUAACCUACCUAUAAGACUGGGAUAACUUCGGGAAACCGGAGCUAAUACCGGAUAAUAUUUCGAACCGCAUGGUUCAAUAGUGAAAGAUGGCUUUGCUAUCACUUAUAGAUGGACCUGCGCCGUAUUAGCUAGUUGGUAAGGUAACGGCUUACCAAGGCAACGAUGCGUAGCCGACCUGAGAGGGUGAUCGGCCACACUGGAACUGAGACACGGUCCAGACUCCUACGGGAGGCAGCAGUAGGGAAUCUUCCGCAAUGGGCGAAAGCCUGACGGAGCAACGCCGCGUGAGUGAUGAAGGUCUUCGGAUCGUAAAACUCUGUUAUUAGGGAAGAACAAAUGUGUAAGUAACUGUGCACGUCUUGACGGUACCUAAUCAGAAAGCCACGGCUAACUACGUG
rnacentral:rRNA from 1 species